rnacentral:lncRNA from 1 species
GCUUGUAACUAAAGAUCGAUGACUCAACUGAAAAGCUAUAGAACAAAAGUAUCUAGACAUAAAAAUAAACACAAAACUAAAGAAAACCGAGCACGAUUGAAGCAGGGGAAGCCAGGGAAGUAGAGGAAGAUGGAAGUGAAGAAUCUGAAAUGGGACGCACAUAUAAGCCUUGUCAAAUAAAUCAUACACCUUAUUUCUACUUCCUUUUCACCACACUUUUUUUCCCUGUCUUCAAUUUAACCAUUACAAUAAUGUAAUACACUUUAUUUUUUAUUCAAAACAACAUUAACAUUAGUAUUAUUGUAAUUCGAAGUUUAAACCAUUUGUUUAAAAAUCAGAAGUAAGAUUAAAUGCU